GUUCAAGAAGUACAUAGCCUACCUGAUGUGGCAGCUAAGGGAACCAGGUUUGCUAAAGUAACUGUGGUGAUAGGCAUAUAUUAGUCUCAGAAGCUACUGAGGUGGCCCGUUUUACCUCUUCUUAUAUAGUA
ensembl:snoRNA SNORA66 Small nucleolar RNA SNORA66